rnacentral:misc_RNA from 1 species
GAUGAAGAACGCAGCGAAAUGCGAUAAGUAGUGUGAAUUGCAGAAUUCAGUGAAUCAUCGAAUCUUUGAACGCACAUUGCGCCCUUUGGUAUUCCUUAGGGCAUGCCUGUUCGAGCGUCAUUUAAACCUUCAAGCUAAGCUUGGUGUUGGGUGACUGUCCGCUUCACGGCGGACUCGCCUCAAAAUUAUUGGCGGCCGGUACAUUGGCUUCGAGCGCAGCAGAAACGCGAACUCGGGCCCGUCGUAUUGGCUCCCAGAAGCUAUCUUCACAAUUUUGACCUCGGAUCAGGUAGGGAUACCCGCUGAACUUAAGCAUAUCUAAGCGGAGGA